CCCAACGGCAUCAGCCAAGAAACAAAGCAGCAGCCUGUUAACUGCAGGUGGCACAUCAUGGCUCCAAAACAGCGUACAAAUACCUCAAGGAAAAAAUCACGGAGCGGAGUUGGGUUCGCUGGAAUAUUUACAGGCGUCAGUUUGUUUUCAAAAAUCGUAAGUGACUUUGUUAAGCGUUGUGAGUAAACGUGACCGUUUAGGCAACAUAUUCUGCUGUAUGCAUGCAAUAUAUAACAGAAUGUCAACAAAACAAUCAUGGACCUCGAUGUCGAGUGGUGAAUGGUAAGUGUUAAAAAAAAUCUGUUGUCGUAUCAUCCAACGUAAUUUAAAAGUUAAUUGGCAACAGGUGAAUACAAUUACAAUGGCUAAUCACAUACGUUUUGAAAUCUUAUUCUUAAUGUUUGACGCAAGUUGCAUUAAAAAGUAUAAAUAGGUUUCAGAAUUGUGUUGUUGUUUUAGAACGUUGCUUUCACGAUCAUUUAAGAGCACUCAUAUGCAUGGACAACGGAUUUCAUCUUAUGAGGUGUGUUACCUUUAACCAUAUGGAUGAUGAUCUAUUUGUGCAAAUUUUGUGAUUGCUCUCUGAAGACAGUUAAGGGAUAUGUUAAUCAUCAAAUCGUACACAGACAUGAAGCAAAUGCUCAGUUUCCAUGUUGCUUCCCAGAAUGCAAAUGUAAAUUCUCAAAAUACAAUGCUCUCAAAGCUCAUGUUUAUCGCCAUCACAAAAGACCACAUACUCAUUUUGAUGAUUCGACGGGCACGUUUGUUUGCAACAAUACAGACUGUCAACAACAAUUUACAGACAUGAACAAUGUCCUUUCUCAUCUCAGGUCACAUUUAGCCAAGGGAGAGGUGGUGUGUUGUCCUUUUGAAAAAUGUGACAAAAAAUUCAGUUUAAGAUCAAGUUUCACUGCCCAUGUUUCACGAAAGCACAGGACUUCUACAUUUGCACAAUUACGGAUUAUGGAUACUUUAUCUGAGCAACCUUCUUCAGCAUUUUUUGAUGUUACUGAGGAGGAGGUUGAUGAAAGUGAAUUCACAGACUCCCUGAUGAAAUGUAACGCAAAGUCAUUGUACAUGAAAAAUCUCUGCCUGUUUUAUAUGCAGCUACAAGCAAAAUACCUGGUGCCAUCGUCAACCAUUCAGAUGAUUGUGGAGGAAUUCAGUGGUUUAAAUUAUAUCUGUUAUCAGUACACACAGAAGAUGUUCAGGGAAAUACUCAAGUCAAAAACGGCCCUCUCACAAUGUGAGAUUGAAUCUGUGGUGCAGACUUUGCAAGGCCAAGAUUUACAUUCAGCUUGUAAUUCAUUACUUUCCACAGAAUACCAAAGAAGACAGUAUUAUCAGAAAAAAUUUUCGUACGUGCAUCCACAAAGUAUGUGUCUUGGUCGUGAUGAGAACCGAAACCAACGUUAUGCACAGUAUAUUCCAUUGAAGAACACUUUAAAAACCAUGUUAAUAGACCCAGUGGUGUGGGAGCAGUGUGCCAGACAUCAGCAUGUACACUCUUCUGUGUUCUCUGACAUCUGUGAUGGCUCUGUAUUCAAAUCCAAUGACUUGUUUAAGCAGCCUGAGAUUACACUCCAAUUUAUCUUGUACCAGGAUGCCUUUGAGAUUGUGAAUCCCCUUGGGUCAGCUAAAAAAAGACACAAAAUGAUUGGAGUGUAUUUUACACUUGGCAACUUUGAGCCAUUUUACAGAUCAUGCAUUGAUAACAUUCAGUUAUCACUUUUGUGUUAUGAGAGAGACUUUAACUAUUUUGGUCAAACCAAGAUUUUUGCUAAGUUGUUGGCAGAUGUCAAAGAACUUGAAGAGCAUGGAUUUGUGACAUCUUCAGGUGACAUAGUACGUGCAACAAUAGUGGCUAUUAUCGGUGAUAAUUUGGGGUCCCACUGCAUCGGUGGGUACUCACAGAACUUCAGUACUGCCAAGCAUUGCUGUAGGUAUUGCUUGGUAUCUCGCAGUGAACUUCAGAAUGUGUGUGUAGACUUUCCCAAUCGCACAGUUGAGUCCUAUAAGGCGGCAGUGGAAACUCUAAGGAUGACCGAAGAAAAUGUUGUUAAUGGGUUGAAGUUUGACUCCAUUUUCAACUCUCUCAAGUAUUUUCAUGUUGCUCAGCCUGGCCUUCCCCCAUGCCUUGGCCACGAUUUGUUUGAAGGCGUUGUAGUUAUUGAUCUUGGCAUUUUCUUGGAAAACUUUGUAAAAAGGAAGUGGUUUUCAUAUACACAGCUGAACAGGAGACUUGCACAAUUCAAAUAUGUGGGUUCUGAUGCUGGUUCUGCCCCCUCCCAGAUAUGUGAAAAAGGCAGAAAGUUAGGUGGUCAAGCAGCUGAGAACUGGUGUCUCCUCAGAUUUCUUCCUGUCAUAAUUGGAGACCGAGUAGAGUCACAAGACCCUGUAUGGCAACUGACUGUUAAGUUGAAAGAACUGGUUGAGCUAGUGUGUGCUCCCAAGAUUACCACAGCACAGAUUGCAUAUCUCAAUGUCUUAAUACCAGAAUAUCUGGAAACAAGAAAGGAGCUGUUUCCUGGUGAAAAUUUGAAACCAAAACAUCAUUACAUGCUUCACUAUACGUCACUCAUUUUAAGUCUUGGACCUUUAAUUCGUUUGUGGUCAUUGAGAUUUGAAAGCAAACAUUCCUACUUCAAAAGAAGUGUGAGAAGAACACAGAACUUCAAAAAUGUAUGCAAGACAUUGUCACACAACCAUCAACUUCUUCAAGCAUAUCUUCACUCACGGUCCUUUUUUUCACCAAAGCUUAAAAGUGUUGACUUGGCCACAUACUCUCCUCAUUUGUACAGUGAUGCUGUGUGCAAAGCUGUUGAGACAAGCUUGCUUAAUGAACCAGACUUUGUUUCCACACGUGUAGAAUACAAGGGUACCCUGUACAGGAAAGGAAACUUAAUUUGCCUUAAAUGUGAAGAGGAGUUUUCUAUUUUACAGUUUGGACCGAUUGAGCUGAUUUUCGUGAAAGAUGAUGAGGUGACUUUCCUUGUGACUCCCCGCCCCUCAGUGUAUUUGCAUGAUUAUGGACUUUAUGAGAUUUUGUCUGCGACAAAGGAAUUAAUUUGUGUAAAAGCUGAGGAAUGUCUGGAUUAUUAUCCCUUAAAUGAGUACAGUUUUAUGGGACUGAAGGUCAUUACUCUGAAGCACAGCGUUGUUCAUCUGUAAAAAGGAUAAACUGUCCUCUCCCAACAGAAAUGGAUGCAUUGUUGACUUUUAUUGAGAAUGUGUUCCCAAACCCUAUAACUUCAAAGCUAGCCAUAGAGGGUUUGAACAGCCUAGGUGUGGAGACCAUAGAUGACCUACAGUUUUUGAAAGAUGAUGAUCUAGGUGGCUUUCUGAGACCGAUUGAAGCAAGAAAACUAAUAGCUCAAAUCCCAAGUAAGUUUUCAAAUCAAUGGUUGUUUUUACAUAUACACUAGUCAACAUUUGAAGCGGAUCAAAAAGUUCAUUAAGUUCACAAGAACAGGUAUUGGUUUUAAGACAACUAUUAUGAAAGGUUUGAUCCACUUGAAAUGUUGACUUGUGUACAUGCAUAUAAUUAGAUGAAACAACACCCCAGUCUCUUUCAUUCUGUACUUUGUUAGCUGUACUCUUUACUUGUAUUACAGUAUGUCAAUGUGUUUCUUGUUUCUGCAGUAUGGUUUUUAAUGCAGUUUUGUUUAUGCCAUGUAGAUAUUGCCUCCACUCUGCAAAACACUGCAAAUGAUUUGUCUGCUGAAUACAAUUCUAAUGCAUCAGGUUCACCUGCUCCUGGAUGCUCAGUUUCACCAUCCAGCUCUUCAAGUGGAAGACGUGACAGUAGCUGUGAAACUUCGUUUUAUGACCAUGACUGGCAUUAUAGUUUUGAUGAUCCAUGGCAAAAAAUGCCAGCAAGUUUUAUGGGAAAGUUGCAAAAUGGCGAAAGGCCAAGUUGCUCUGAGAGAAGACAGUUGGUCCGCAUUGUUGCUUCUGAGAUCCUGGAAGUCAGCAAAUGUCCAGCAAAAAAACAUGUAUCAGAAAUAGCCCGACAAAUGGUGAUUGCAUACCCAAAGUCUUUCAGAGAUGAGAUUAAUUCCCAGGUUGUAGGAAGUGGAUAUGAUUCUCUCCUCAAACAACUGGUGUGUAGAAUUGACAAUUUGAAAAGAGCAAAAGCUAUUAGUAUACCACUUUGUGGUACUCUAGAAGUAUCAACAAAGAAACGAAAAUUGUUAUAUGGUUGUAUAAAUUCUGAUCCACAACUGCUAGUUGGAGAAACAUCCGAAUUGCAGCAGGAAAAGAAAGAGAAGUUGGUAGUAAUGUUUCAAAAUAAUGAAAGUGAUGUAAAGACAAUCUAUGACUUAAUGACUUCUACAUACACCCCUCAAAGAAACAGCAUCCAAUCUGGAAAGGAAACCAAAGAUUUACUUGAUGAGUGGCCAUAUCUUUUUCAGCCAGCAGGAAUGAAAGCACACUUUAAAGAGCUCACUGGCAUUGACAUAAACAACAGCUUUGAAGAAUCUGCUUCCAGUAAGUUCAGAAGAAUAUUGGACUACUUUCAAUUUCAGUGCACAGAAAGAGCAAGCAGAGCAGGGAGAAUCCUCACAAAGUAUAGAGCUGGAGGGGAUCAUGUUUGUGGGGCCGUGAUGUUGCUGCUAACCCAUUUCAAAAAUGACCAAGACCACUUUCUUGUGAUGGUAGAAGACACCUCUGUUCCAAGUGAUAUAUGCUCAGAACAGCUUCCAGCAACACCAUGUAUAGUAGUGUGUGGAGAGAACCCACUGACAGCCAGUGUGUACAUGGUAGCAGUAGACCAGAUGAUUGUAAAUGACCAUCUCUUGAGUUUUACAGAAGCCCUGUAUCUGAUGUUCUCUCUUUACUAUACAUUGAACAUCAGUUACCCUGUAGAACUGGGAGCCACACUAGAAUUCUUGCAAAGGUGCAUCUUUAGGAUAAAUCCUCUUAAAGGUACCAAGGUGGAAAAGAGAGAGAAAAAGAGAGCGUACUCUGUCAACCCCAGAGUAUUGAGUCUGACAUCAAAAAUUGCUGCAUUUGAUUGGGGAGAGUAACAGAUGUGGUCUUUCAGAAGAUUGACAUUUCGCUGAAGAACAGGACAGACCGACUUUUUGUACUUCAGUGCAGCGCUUUGUUGCUUAAAUCAUUUUUAUUACCUUGUGACGUGAUUAGGAUUUAGUUUAUAUUUAUUUAUUUGAUUGGGACAGUGCAUGUUAAUGAACAAACAUGGAAUACAUGCAUGUAAACAUGCUGGAUUGUAGCCAAAGGCUAAUUUCCAUCCGUAGUCCCACGGGCUAAAAUCACACUGGUCACAAAACAUUACAUAAUAAAAUUUACAUCUACAGUUAGUACAUCGUUUAUCAAUAAAUUAGCUAAAGCCCCAUAUACAAUAUUCACAUAAUACUUGAUAAUUCAUUCAACUUCAAAAUUAUCAGAAUCCAGGCCCAGUGUUUUUGUUUCUUUUAAACUGAACACAUUUGUGUUCUGAAACAUGCUUUAUCCAUUUUCUCCAUGUGACAUGUUCAGGAUUAUCAGAAUUAAUGUCUUUUUUUUUUUUUUUUUUAAAUUGAACAAAUUUGUUUUCUAAAACAUGACUUUUGCUGGGAAGUGUUUUUCCAUUGUUUGAUCUUGAAGGUUUGCUAUAUAAUAAAAAGCUGAAGUUACCCUGGCUACCAUAAUUUAUUGUAUAACAUUUUACAAAAAUUUGUGUUUCAAGAGUAUUUUUAAUUAGUUUUUAGCAUUACUUCUGUCACACAGUAUACAAAGAUGUCCCUCUACAUUUGGUUUAAAUAAAUAAAUUCACUAGAAAAAGAUUAUGGCAUGAAAACAUGUAAGCCCAGAUUUGCUAACUAUUUGUGGCAGUGCACACUUUCUGAAUGUGUCAGGGUUUUCAGAAGACAUGAUAGAAAGGCAUGUACAGUGAUUAUUGCAUCUUUAUUGGAUAUGCAUUUGUAGGAAAUUUCCUUUAUGAAAGCGUCCCUUAACCCUUUUUGUGCCUGACCUGCCAGUAAUGGUUGCUAAUUGCACUUAUUUUUUAUUUGGUCAUUAUGGAAGGGAGCUGCUGCAAUUCUGUUCUUGCACAUUGAUAGUUUACUCGUAGAAAACAUUCAAAUUCAUCCUGAAGUUAGUUGUAUUUUCUCUGCCAAAAACAAUAUUAGCACAUUUUAAGUUAAGAUGCUUGCUAUUUACCUUUAAUGUGAUAAAACUGAAAAUCUGUCUUGUACUCUCAGGUUGUAUAACUUUCUUUGUGGUUAUCAGAACAAAUUAAUUUAUUUUGACUAAUGUACACCGAGGAAGUUUAAGAACCACUGGCUUAUAGAUUUGGCUUUUUUGUGAUAAAAAAAAGCCAUUUAUUUGCAAUGAAAAUUUAGAAAAUGUUUGAAAAGUGGAAAUAAAGUGCUUUAUUAAGAGAAGAGUGUUUAUUAAAAAUAAAGUAUUAAUUGGGUAGGCUUAGGGGUCGGUGUAGAAGGGCUUUUAUUCUCACAACAAUGUAGCAUCCAUUUAACAAUUUUAAUAAAUAUAAUCAUUUGCACUCUGAUAAUUAUUGGAUCCUGUUAAUCUACAAAAAUAGUAAGGUGCAACUAUCUGCCGAUAUAGAUAGCAUCUAAUUAGUAUUUACACUUACUGCAAAUUUGAUAAUUAUAUUUUUUAAAUGAAAAUUAUUUACACCUAAUGUAAAUAGCAUUACGUAAAAAUUAAUUGGGUUGUAGCUCGUUGUCUAGGUGACUGUGAUUUUAAAUAGGUGUCGUUUGUGUUUUAAAGUUUAGCUCAAGAAUAGGGAAGUUCGAAUAGCCUAUGUGAAUAUUACCAACUUCACUAAACUCCUUCUUGAGUUAAGAACUGACCACAUUUCUUUAUAUUUGAGUCCAAGUUCAAACACUACGAAACGCUCCAUUAACGUAUACGGAGCUCUGAAACACUGCCAGCGGGACAUUAAACAGGAAGGGUCUGUCCGAGCUCAAAACAGGUUUUACGUGGGAACGCUAAGUUUCUCGGGGGAAGGCAAAAGAUUUGCAAAAAAAUUUCCACCACCACGUCCCUUUGAGGGCUCCGUAGUAAAUAGCAUCUACUUCUGGUUAUUUCGGAUUUUGAUAUGGAAAUCAUGACAAUUAGCUUACCUUAACAAUAAAUGGUUUUCCAAAAGUGGUGUAACAAGUGGGUUGGACAGGAGUGUGUGUUUGGAUGGGGAUACCAAUAAGUGAAACGCAUACUCGAAAUGUGACCUCUUUAACCCAUCCCAGUGAGUGGUGAGCACACACAGUGCAGGGAGCAAUUAGGAUAAAUCGCAACACGCUGGCCGUGAGACUCGAACCGGCAACUCUUGGGUUACAAGCCCGACUCUCUAACCACUAAGCUACAACUGACCCCACAGUAAUAAAAUGCUCUAACAGGCACAAGAGAAAACUGAUGCCUUUCACCAUUAACCACAGCGGCAAAAAAAAAAAACAAAAAAAAACAACAACAGGUUUUAUAAACAACACACGAACAUUAACAAACGAACGAUAUGUAUGAUAUGCAUAACAACACUAGUAGACAAUAGUAGGCUAAAUGCUGACUAUAAAUCAAGGAAACAACAUCACGAAUGGAUCACCAAUAAAGUUUAGAAAAGAUGCGCAAUUUAACCUAAUGUCUUCAGUGGCACGGGCACUAGUGUGGAAGCCUCGUUUAUUUGAUGCUUGUUUCAAAGUCCUUGGUUCGAAUCUGUAUUUUAUACCUUUUGGUAUCACAAAUCACAUCGAAAAGGCAUUUAUUUUCAACAAAAAUGAAGUAGAAAUAAAGUGUCUAACGAGUGUUUAAUAAAACACUUAAUACUAUUAUUGCAUCCUGUUAAUGUACACAAUUACUGAGAUGCAAACAGAAUCUGCCAAAAUAUAGAAUAUAGCAUCUAAUUACUAUUUACACUUAUUGCAAACUUUCGUGACAUUUACAUGAUGUAAAUAGAAUAUAUAGCUAUUUGUUUUUAGUGUAAAUCACAACUGUUGCUUUUUGCACUUAGUGCAUAGUCACUGCCUAAUUCAACUGGGAAAAUGUAGGCUAUAUUUGGUGUUAAUGUAUGCAUUUUUAGUGGAAUUUCACCGUUCUGAUGAAAAUGAGAAAUGACUGUGAAAUUCUACUGGUUUUCUCUGUAAAACUAAAUUUUUUUCAACUCUGACCAAAACAUAUACAGGAAUGUUUUUUUAAGGACAUGUCAGGAUAACAAUAGACAACAAUUACUGUUAUUUAAAGGAAAAUGUAAUUUUUUUGCAGUAACAAAUUUAAAUAGUUAAAAAACAGGGAAAAUGUAUGUUAGAUGUAAAAGUUAGCAUUUUUAUGGAAUUUCACAGUUCUGGUCAAAAUGUCAUAAUACUGUUAAAUUCUACCGUUUUUUUCUGUAAAAAUACAUUUAUUUUUUACAGUGUAGCUCUGACUGUUCCUAAAUUAUGUCAUGUCCCAUUGUCUUGUCUCAAGAUGCAUACCUGUUGUGUUUUAUGUUUGUAAAAGCUAAAUGUCCUAAUUGAACUAUAGCCUAAUCUUGGCUUAAUCUAAGUCCUGUUUGUGAAACCAUGGCAUGAGUGAUGCGGUGUAUAGAUUUUUAUUAGACAACUAAGUUUGUGCUCGGGGUUUAACCCAUCCAAGUGCAUUCACAUUAGUGAAAACACACACAAACAUGGAGCAGUGGGCACCCAUUUUUGCUGCAGCACCCAGGGAGCAGUUGGGGUUUGUUACCUUGCUCAAAGAAACCUUGUUCAUGGUUAUUGAGUGUGGAAGAGUGUUACAAUCACACCCUGUUUUGUUGUCUAUGUUUAGUUUUUUUGCCCCUUCAUGUCUGUGAUACCAAAACAAAUGUCCAACUCACCCACAGAACCUUUUAGUUAAAUCUGUUUCCACAUCCCAACUCCAAACUGGAGAUGUAACUAUUGAACUCUUAUGAUUGGCAUUGUGUUAUGUAAAUAUUGUAAGAUACUGUCAUUUUUAUUUAUGUGCAUAAUGAGUGUCAUUGCAAAUGUAAACUUUUACAUUGUUAAAAUAAAAAGCUCCUAGUUCCUCUU